rnacentral:rRNA from 1 species
UACGUAGGGUGCGAGCGUUGUCCGGAAUUAUUGGGCGUAAAGGGCUCGUAGGCGGUCUGUCGCGUCGGGAGUGAAAACUCAGGGCUUAACCCUGAGCCUGCUUCCGAUACGGGCAGACUAGAGGUAUGCAGGGGAGAACGGAAUUCCUGGUGUAGCGGUGAAAUGCGCAGAUAUCAGGAGGAACACCGGUGGCGAAGGCGGUUCUCUGGGCAUUACCUGACGCUGAGGAGCGAAAGUGUGGGGAGCGAACAGGAUUAGAAACCCCCGUAGUCC